rnacentral:rRNA from 1 species
ACGCGAAAGCCCCCUUCGGGGGGCAAGUAGAGUGGCGCACGGGUGAGUAACACGUAGGUAAUCUACCUUUGGAUGGGGAAUAACCACCGGAAACGGUGGCUAAUACCGCAUAAUGCAGCGGCACCUAAUGGUGACAGUUGUUAAAGCGGGGGAUCGCAAGACCUCGCGUCUGAAGAGGAGCCUGCGGCAGAUUAGCUAGUUGGUAAGGUAACGGCUUACCAAGGCGAUGAUCUGUAGCCGGCCUGAGAGGGCGGUCGGCCACACUGACACUGACAUACGGGUCAGACUCCUACGGGAGGCAGCAGUCGGGAAUUUUGGGCGAUGGGCGAAAGCCUGACCCAGCAACGCCGCGUGAAGGAUGAAAUCCCUCGGGAUGUAAACUUCGCAAGAACGGGAAGAAUAAGUAAGGGUUAAUAUCUCUUACGAUGACGGUACCGUUUGUAAGCUCCGGCUAACUCCGUGCCAGCAGCCGCGGUAAUACGGGGGGAGCAAGCGUUG